UCGAGCGUUAGGCGGAAUCACUGGGCUUAAAGCGUGUGUAGGCGGAAGAGUAAGUACCUUGUGAAAUCCCACGGCUCACCCGUGGAACCGCUGGGUAUACUGCUCUUCUUGGGCCACUCAGGGGCGACUGGAACAAGCGGUGGAGCGGUGAAAUGCGUAGAUAUCGCUUGGAACGCCGAAGGUGAAAACAGGUCGCUGGGAGUGCGCCGACGCUGAGACACGAAAGCCAGGGGAGCAAACGGG
rnacentral:rRNA from 1 species